UCUGUAUGAACACUAGCACCUGCUGGUUAUAACUACGCCCGCUGUGGACUCUCUGGAAUACCUCUGUAUCAGAAAAUAAGUGACAGAGAAGUUGAGGCCUUAAGUGACUCCACCAAGGUGCCAUGUGUUGGUUCAGUAGUGAAGUUUGGACUCAAGCUGUUCCUAGGGGUGGGUCCUCUGAAGUAUACCAGUCAAUCAGAAGGGACUCCUCGGGGAAGAAGCCUCAGGAGGGCAUGCAUGCAGAGGAAAGAAAGACCAUGUGAGAACACAGCAAUAAGGCAGGCGUUUGCAAGCUGAGGAGAAGGACUCACCAGAAACCAGCCCUGCUGACGACACCUUGAUCAUGGACUUCCAGCCUCCACAUCUAUGUGAAAAGUAAUCUCUUGUGUAAGCUGCCUACUUCAUGGUAUUUUGCUGUGGCAGCCCUGGAAGACUAAUAAUGAGAUCUAGAGCUCAUUUUGCCACCAACGAAGUACGUGGCCUUCAAGUAUUUAAGCUUUCCAAAUUUCAAUACUGAAAAGUGAAAUGAAGAGAAUUAUCCCAUGAGAAUUAAUAUCAUAUGCUUCAUCUGGGCUCCUGCCUGGAGGCAGGUGGUGUGCUCCAGAUGAUGGGAAAAUAAAAGUUUUGUAGCAGAUUAUCUUGUAGCCUCA
rnacentral:lncRNA from 13 species